AUGCGUGCACACACACACACGCACCUCUGCAUGCGUGCACACACACACCUCUGCAUGCGUGUGCACACACACACCUCUGCACGCGUGCACACACACACACCUCUGCAUGCGUGCGCACACACACCUCUGCAUGCGUGUGCACACACACACCUCUGCACGCCUGCACACACACACACGCACCUCUGCAUGCAUGCACACACACACGCACCUCUGCACGCGUGCACACACACACCUCUGCACGCCUGCACACACACACACCUCUGCAUGCAUGCACACACACACGCACCUCUGCAUGCAUGCACACACACACGCACCUCUGCAUGCGUGUGCACACACACACACCUCUGCACACGUGCACACACACACACACCUCUGCACGCCUGCACACACACACACACACCUCUGCACGCGUGCACACACACACGCACCUCUGCACGCCUGCACACACACACACCUCUGCACGCGUGCACACACACGUGCGCCUGCACAGCCCUCCUCUGCAAUGACGACCCGAGAGCGCACCCUCAGCCUGCGGAAUACGGGGGAAGCAGCAUCCUCAGGCAUCGCGACGCUCUGAUCCGGCACAGAGACGGUACGAAGGAGGCGAAGGAAGCGGGCACACCGCGCGAGGUGCCGGCAGCGUAUUGCGGCAGACGCCAGCUCCCGGCGGCCGACGCACCGCGACGCCCCGGCGACGUCCCGCGUGUCAGAUGGUUUCCGUGCAAGCUCCUCCUAGAAGCGUGCCUCUUCCUUCCGAAAGAUCUCCCCGUUCACUUCAACGUCCGCGGCCAUCGCAACGACCGCCCUUGGGUGCCCUGUUCCAAACACCCCCGGAGAAAUCUGCAAAAGACUUCGUUUUCAGGAAAGGGCGGCUGCCCCCCACCGAGCGUUAACUUCUCACCUGGCGAGCACCUAGAAAGGCUCGGACGCCCGUGCCGGGGGGUUUGGCCGCGAUCGGCGGGCGGAAGGACGCCCCGAGGAGGCGGCCGGGCGCGUCGCAGCUGCCUUUCGGCAGCGUCGGCCGGGCGCGGCGUUUUGCCGCUCGGCUCCGGCUGCAAACGGAGCGGGCGGCGCUUGGAGGGGGGCGCGGGGCGGCACGUCACCUCCCCAGGCUGCGGCCGCCGAGUGCGUGCCGGAGCGCGGCAUCUCCGAGGGGACGAUAACGGCUUGCGCCCGGUUUGGGAAGGAGCGACGCCGAUUGCUUCCGCAAAGUUCGCUUUUUUUGUCAGCUUUACGCCGCUCUCUCAGCACCUCGCACGGGCCCAAACCGCCCCAGAAAUGGCUCCAGGUUUCCGCCCGGUGCCGCGCAGACGGGUCCUUCCCGCCGCCGCGGUGGGGCACGCGGCGAUGCAGCACCGGCGGCCGCCCCAUCGGUGGGAAGCCACGUUCCCAGUGCUCACGCGCGGCAGAACCGCGUAUUUCCCGGUUCCUCCACCACCCCCAGGCUUUUAG
rnacentral:lncRNA from 1 species